rnacentral:rRNA from 1 species
UACGCGAGGCAGCAGUGGGGAAUUUUGCCCAAUGGGGGAAACCCUGAUGCAGCAACGCUGCGUGAGCGAUGAAUCCUUGGGGAAGUAAACUUCUUUCGACCGUGAAGA